AGCACUAUGGGGGAUGGCCUAGAUCUUUAAUCCAAAUCAAAUAAUUGGGUCUCCACUGUCAAAAGUCACAGUUUCACUCAUUCGGCUCCUUGCUGUGCCAGGAGCAAUCGAGGCUUGAGAGGUGGGGGUGGGAGUAGAUCGGGGACUUUUAUCCCUGGGAAUUUGUAAUGGAUCCAUUAAGAGCAAUUCAUGGUUGUAUGCCGCACAACACUAAGUGAUAUUUGAAGGUGUGUGGCAGUCCAGUAUCCCACAAUAAGAUGAUGUGGGAACUCCACUCUGGGAAAAAGUCUUCAAAGAAAUAUAGAUACAAACCUGUUUGAAUGAGUCAUCGAGGCUCCAAUCAGCCAGUCCGUUUGGUGUGCUGAACGAUUGUUGGUCAGGAAGGGAGUCUUCAGGCUCGUCUUUCACCUUAGUGGUUGGCGACAGGGGACGUUUUUUAGCAGCGGAUGGCGAUGCGGCAUAGACAGGGAACGUAUACGGAGGAACUCCGACAGACGCUUGCUGGAGCGCAAGACUUUGCU